GACGAACGCUGGCGGCGUGCUUAACACAUGCCAGUCGAACGGAAAGGCCCUGCUUUUGUGGGGUGCUCGAGUGGCGAACGGGUGAGUAACACGUGAGUAACCUGCCCUUGACUUUGGGAUAACUUCAGGAAACUGGGGCUAAUACCGGAUAGGAGCUCCUGCUGCAUGGUGGGGUUGGAAAGUUUCGGCGGUUGGGGAUGGACUCGCGGCUUAUCAGCUUGUUGGUGGGGUAGUGGCUUACCAAGGCUUUGACGGGUAGCCGGCCUGAGAGGGUGACCGGCCACAUUGGGACUGAGAUACGGCCCAGACUCCUACGGGAGGCAGCAGUGGGGAAUAUUGCACAAUGGGCGGAAGCCUGAUGCAGCAACGCCGCGUGCGGGGUGACGGCCUUCGGGUUGUAAACCGCUUUCGCCUGUGACGAAGCGUGAGUGACGGUAAUGGGUAAAGAAGCACCGGCUAACUACGUG
rnacentral:rRNA from 1 species